ensembl:snoRNA SNORD115 Small nucleolar RNA SNORD115
GGAUCAAGGAUGAGAACUUACCUUGUUAAAGACAGCUGAUGACAUAAAUAUCAUGCUCAGUAGGAUACAACAUAAUCC